UAUGUAGGGUGCAAGCGUUAAUCGGAAUUACUGGGCGUAAAGCGUGCGCAGGCGGUUCGGAAAGAGAGGUGUGAAAUCCCAGGGCUUAACCUUGGAACUGCACUUCUAACUACCGGGCUAGAGUACGUCAGAGGGGGGUAGAAUUCCACGUGUAGCAGUGAAAUGCGUAGAGAUGUGGAGGAAUACCGAUGGCGAAGGCAGCCCCCUGGGAUGAUACUGACGCUCAUGCACGAAAGCGUGGGGAGCAAACAGG
rnacentral:rRNA from 1 species